rnacentral:rRNA from 1 species
UUGAACGCUGGCGGCACGCCUAACACAUGCAAGUCGAGCGGUAGCAUGGUUAGUAGCAAUACUAACUGAUGACGAGCGGCGGACGGGUGAGGAACACGUAGGAACCUGCCCUAUAGAGUGGGAUAACCAGAGGAAACUUUGGCUAAUACCGCAUAAUCUCGAGAGAGGAAAGCUGCCGUAAGGUGGCGCUAUUGGAGGGGCCUGCGUCCGAUUAGCCAGUUGGUAGGGUAAGAGCCUACCAAGGCUGUGAUCGGUAACUGGUCUGAGAGGACGGCCAGUCACACUGGGACUGAGACACGGCCCAGACUCCUACGGGAGGCAGCAGUGGGGAAUAUUGGACAAUGGGGGCAACCCUGAUCCAGCGAUGCCGCGUGGGUGAAGAAGGCCUUCGGGUUGUAAAGCCCUUA